rnacentral:lncRNA from 1 species
GGGGUGGACAGGCAGUGUCUGUGGGAAAACCAGCAUCACUAAAGCAGACAACGUGGGAGGCCCUCACCCGGGAGUCCCUCGGGGAAGGGCAGCUGCUUCAGGAAGGAGGCCGGAGGGUCCCCUCAGUGCAGGAAGCCAGCUCAGCCGCCCCAGGCCCAGAUGGGGAGGGGGCGAGGUGGGGGACAUGGAGCCGGGCCCCCUUGCAAGGAGCCCUGUGCAGAUGCAUGCAAGGACAGGGGCUGGCCAGCCCCAAAGCCCAGCUGUGUGGCCUGGGGCUGCUCUGGAGGGGCUGCCAGCUUAGCUAUCUCGGGGCCUUGAACUUUCUAUUCUGUUUUGCAAUCAGUUCAGAAGGCGGCAUUUCUAGAUUCCCUUCUUAUCACAGAGAAACUUCUAGCACAACAAUAGCUGAUUGUACUGCUCUCUGGGGUGCGGCUGCAUUCCUGGACACCCCCCACGUUUUUUUUUUUUUCGUGGUAUCUUUGGAACUAUAAUGGAUCUCAUUGUGAUUGGUCUGUUCAGGGGACAGUGUGGCCCUUGAAUUUAGAAGCGUGAAAGGGGAGUGGGGGCUGGGGAGAGGGUGGCAAAGGAGAGUAGCGGUGGGAGGGAACCCGGAGACAACCCGCGAGACAGCCAAGGGACAUCUCAGAGCAUCUCGGCGGUGUCCUGUUGCAUAACGCAGCUGGAAACUGCAUCCCCUGGACUGACUGGGUUUGAAAAUAUGUAGUUAUUUGUCAAACCACCAAUGUUUAUUUUCAUUCAGUUAUUAAGAAAUAAAAAGGGGUAGAUAAUUUUCACUCCCUGCCCGUGCCUGUCCGGCAGGACUCGGCAGCAGGUCGAUCCGGCGCAGACUCAUCUGAGUGUGACGUAGUGGCAGCCAGUCACAUCGUGUCCUCUGGAGGCCGCCUGCUGCUGCGCGGAGCCAGUGUCCAGGACCUGGGGCCGGGGGACCAGAGCUGGGACAGGCCCAGCCCCUGGGCGGCAUAGCUAUGUGGCCCCGGGAACACUGGCUCUCCAAGGCACAAGGCGUUUUCACCGGCUGCGUCCCAUUCAGUCUUCCCAGCAUGAUCCCAGCUCGGAGAAGCUGAGGCAAUAAAAGUGAAUUGAUUCAGAGAGAACGAGGAUGAAAUUUGCGUUGGGCAAGGAGCAGUGCAUAAACGCCAGUGAUGUCAGCACAGCCGCCCCCAGCCCCAACUCUCGGGCUACAGGAGGGCAAGCCCCGGAGAAGCCGGGCAGGAGUGAGAAAGCCGAGGCCCAGAGAGGUCAAGGAACCUGCUCAAGGUCACGCAGCUGGGACGUGGUCAAGCCCCACUGAGUCCCUCUGAAGCCAGGCUGGGGCCUCCAGUGAGUGGGGAAAGCCUAGAGGGGGCGCGGCAGAGCAGGCACAGGAUCCACCAGACGCCCUCGGAGGCCCUGCGGAAAGGCCAAGGGUUCUGAGAGCUCAACUCGGACCUUGGCAGGGGCCCAGGAGGACGACAGGACAACCCCCAGGCUCCUCUCUGCCUCGGUGACCCUCCCCACCCCAUCCCACCAACGUCUGAGCAAGACUUGCUGGAGCCACUGUAGGAGAGAAAGCUGCUGUUGCUACCGCCAGCCCAGCUCAGCUCCAACCUUCCUGGCUGUUUGCCUGUGAGGGCCCCAGGAGGAUAGAAAGGGACAUAUUUCAAGGGAGAAGGGACGUUUCCUUACAGGGAAACAAGCUGAGUGGUCUGUAACAUACCUGAGGCUUUAUUGCUAGGGACAGGCAGAGCUGGACUGGGGACCCAGGCUGCUUGACAUCCAGUGAGGGCUGCUCCUCCCUCUGCCCACUCGGUGACUAGCUUGCUGGGUAGCACCGGGCAAGGCUGUCUCCCUCUCUGACUGCUCACUCCCAGCUGUAGAGAGAGGUGGUUCCUGGAUCACGGAGCAGUGCCUGCCUAGGGUGCAGGCCUGGGCUCGGCACAGGGCCGAGAAGCUGCUGCUCUGCCCCGCCUCCGGGAGAGGUCCUGGCACUGCCAGCCCAUGAAUAAGGCCUGGCAGGGCGCCGGGCGAGGGUGUGCAGAGGUCAGCGGGGAGGGCCGAGUGGCAGCGUUCUUGGGACUGGCUGCCAGCUGCAGCUGGACCUGUUUGCCUGGGCUGGGCUGUCUCACUUCCCCUGGAGCGGAGAGGCCACUGGGGAGGAAGAACAGGUGUGGGCAGUGCUUCAGGGGCCCUUGAACUCCAGGAUGGCCAGCUCCUGCCACAGGGGACCCAGCCAGCCGUGGCCAGAGGCCAGGGAGCCACAUGCUGGAGCCGAGGACAGGCUGUCGUGAGAUCAGUUCGAGCCCCUAGCCCCCUUUCCCUGCAGGCCUGGCCUGGGGGGCUAGCACAGGCUGCCAGGGGAGGUCUCUUGCCCUGUGUGACAGGGGGUCCCAGCCUGUGGCCUGCAGCCAUCGACACCACAACAAGAUCUUUGCUGGGGUGUUCUGCAAAACCUCAGGAACCCUGUGCCCACAAACAGUGCAUGAAAGUCAACCAAGUAACCCUUCUGUGAUUAUUCAUUCAUCUGAGGUUUGCUCAGCAACUUUCAGUCAUCUCAAUCCUGUUGUGAUAAAAUGCAAAGUCCUCUGACAGCGUUGUGGGAUUGGGAGUAAGUGUUGCCUUUAGCAGACACCAAAAGUGCUACUGUUAUCUCAAGCAGGUGUGUGACUUUCUAUGACUUUAAAAGGGACCCUCCCAACUUCUGGGAAGCCAGGCCCCUCUGAUCUAGCCAAUGUACCCACCACUACCCAUAUUUGCCUCUCUCCCUGGCACCCAAGACUGGUGGAAGAGGAAAGCCCUCUUGUAGAGACAGCCCCACUUGUCCUGAUGGAGGCCAUGGCUCAUCCCCUCACCACAUGGCCUCACUGGGCUGGACCCUGGUGCAUGGCAUGGCUUGGGAAGGGAGGGGCUGCUCAGGACCUGAGACAGCACAGGCCGACCACCCCGUAAGGAUGGGAAGGAAGUCAGGAGUCCAUGCAGUGGCACAGGCCAGGGAGGGUGGACAUCGGGAGGGGGAAUGGAGGCUUGGCCUGUGCUGAAGGAGAGGGGUGGAGGUGGGCAUUGGGGUGGACCAUGCUCUAGUGGGGAGGUAUGGCCAGAGCAAGCAGGUAGAUGCAGUCACGGGGAGUCCAGUGAGGCGGACAGCCCUUUGCCCUCAUCCUGUGCUCAGUGGUGGGGUGCAGCGCGAGCUUCCACCUUCAUCUGUCCCCCACACACCACCACAGCCACAGACCACCUUGCCCUGCCCUGGAUGCAGGAAGACACCUGCACCUCACAAGCCAGCUUGGACAAAACCGAACUAGAGAAACGAAAUGCCAGGGUCACUACUGUGCCUUCCACUGAGGAGGUGACGCGAUGUGUGGAUGGCGGCUUGCCUCUGUGUCUGUGCAGGGCGGGUGUGUUUGUGUGUACACCAUCCACAGGCAGGUGCUCGGUGUGCAGUACAUGCACACACACACACACACAUGCACACACACACACACGCACACACACAUGCACACACAGACAUGUACACACACAUACACGCACACACACAUGCACACACGCACACACACGCACACACACACGCACACAGACAUGUACACACACAUGCACACACAUAUGCGCACACACACACGUACACACACAGAGGAAAACAUUUGCGUCACUGUCUUGCCAGGGUCUAUUGGUAACACACUAAGCACUUUGCAAGGGAAGGGACUUUCCAGGGACCCUGAGCAGUGUCCAGUGGAGAGGCUGUCAUCUCUGCCCCACAGCCGGAAGUGGCACCUCCCCACCCUUGUGCACAAGAGGCAAAUGGACACAGGCUCCCUGAGGCCCCACACUUCCCACAGACACCCCCCUUCCCGCACAGUCCUGGGUAGCUGGCAUUUUGGGCCAAUCCACAGUGGCUUUAGCGGUUGACCAUGGCUGAGAAUAUUUUGGGAACUGCCUUUUAGAAUCCGUUGACAAGACACACAGACGCUGCUGUCCCGGUACUUUGCAGCCUUAUCCAGGUUCACGUUGGUUUUCUCUGGAUUGGGCAGUAACUCCUCCUUCCCAGGGGAUGGUCACCUUUGUGACCCCACCCGGGUGGCUCUUUCCGACCAUCCUCUCCAUCAUGGGAGAAUCAUGGUUUCCCACCAGAAAGGCCACCCUGGUCACACGUGCUGGGAUCUGGGAGAGGAGUUCCUGAUGCAACCCUGGCGUCGGCGGGGCCACGGCACCACACAGGAAGGCCAAGCCAGCUGGAGAGGCCACAGUCCUGAGGUGUGUGUCACCCCGAUGUUUGUGGAGCCCCUUACAGCCAAUGCUGGCAGUGCUGGGAAUGCCCAUGUGGAAAAAGGAGAUGAGUUCCUGUCCUUGGGGAAGAGCUCAUGGCUGUGUUCUUCUUGGGGAGCACCGUGGCUGGGGAGAGGAAUACAAAUUCUGUCUCACCUUUUAUAACCCCUCCUUCAGGCCUUACGGUGAGGACCCAUCCAAAGCAGAACCAUGCCCAAAACAAGAUACCAACAAGGAAGCAUGGUGUAAGCACAGCUCACCGACAGCCGUUUCAUAUGGGGCUUCAGAACACCCAAGAGAGCUUUGUGUGACUCCAUUGACUUGAGGUGUCUAGAAUGGGCCAAUCCAUAGAGAUAGGAAGCCGAUUUGUGGUUUGCCCAGGGGCAGGGGCAGGAGGGGAAUGGGAGGCAAUGUCUCAUGGGUGCAGGUUUUCUUUGAGGGUAGAUGAAAGUGUUCCAGAAUUAGAUUAUAGUGAUGCUUGCACAACUAGAAAUUUACUAAAAACUAUUUAACUGUAUACUUUCAAUGGGAGAAUUUAUGGUAUGUUAAUUAUAUGUCAAUAGAGCUGUUAAAUAUUUGAAGUAUCAUGGGGAAAUGUUGCUGAAGGUAUUCAUCGGUAUGUACUUUCUGAUUUCAUUGUUUAAAAAAAAUGUGCUCAUAUAUAGUAGAAAGACUAGAAGGAAACACACCGAACGUUAACAGUGGCUUUGUCUGAGUAAAGGAACAAGAGAAUAUUUUAUUCUGCAUGUGCAAACAGCCAGGGGGCAGGAUCCGUCUAAAGUUGGGGUGAUGCUGCCAUCCUACAGCCCAGCCUCUGGACCAGCCCCUCCCUGCCCAAGGUGACCUGUGACUCAGCUGCAGCGGCAUCCAGCGGCCAGGGGUCAGCCCCUCCCUGGGAAGGGAAUGCUGUGGGCCUGCAGGGCGGGCAGCUCUGCUCUGUCCACUGUGUUUUGCCACCUGGUCGUUUUGCUGGCUGCCCAGCUCUGCUGUUAGGACAGAAGCAGUACGAGACAGGGAGUCCUACCUACCUGUUCCCAGUUGUGACCCGGAGCUUUGCAAAGGAGCUGGCUCAAUAAAUGUAUGGUGGAUGAA